GCCCCCUUAGCUCAAUGGAUAGAGCGUCAGCCUCCGGAGCUGAAAAUACAGGUUCGAAUCCUGUAGGGGGCA
rfam:Candidatus Terrybacteria bacterium RIFCSPHIGHO2_01_FTLL_58_15 rifcsphigho2_01_scaffold_1126, whole genome shotgun sequence.